rnacentral:lncRNA from 1 species
AAACUUCAAAAUAAAACUUACAACAACAACAACAACAACAACAACGCCUUAUCCCACUAGGUGGGGUCGGCUACAUGGAUCAACUUCCGCCAUAAUGUUCUAUCAAGUACCAUACUUCUAUCCAAAUCAUUAAGUUCGAGAUCCUUUUUGAUAACCUCUCUUAUAGUCUUUUUGGGUCUUUCUCUGCCUCAAAUUGUUUGUCUUCUCUCCAUCUGGUCUACUCUCCUCACUACAGAGUCUACCGGUCUUCUCUCUACAUGCCCAAACCACCUAAGUCUAUUUUCCACCAUCUUCUCUACAAUAGGC